UGGGGAAUAUUGCACAAUGGGCGAAAGCCUGAUGCAGCAACGCCGCGUGAGUGAUGAAGGCCUUCGGGUUGUAAAGCUCUGUCUUUUGGGACGAUAAUGACGGUACCAAAGGAGGAAGCCACGGCUAACUACGUGCCAGCAGCCGCGGUAAUACGUAGGUGGCAAGCGUUGUCCGGAUUUACUGGGCGUAAAGGAUGCGUAGGCGGAUUUUUAAGUGAGAUGUGAAAACCCUAAGCUUAACUUGGGGACUGCAUUUCAUACUGGAAAUCUAGAGUGCGGGAGAGGAGAAUGGAAUUCCUAGUGUAGCGGUGAAAUGCGUAGAGAUUAGGAAGAACACCAGUGGCGAAGGCGAUUCUCUGGACCGUAACUGACGCUGAGGCAUGAAAGCGUGGGUAGCAAACAGGAUUAGAUACCCUGGUAGUCCACGCCGUAAACGAUGAGUACUAGGUGUAGGAGGUAUCGACCCCUUCUGUGCCGCAGUUAACACAAUAAGUACUCCGCCUGGGAAGUACGAUCGCAAGAUUAAAACUCAAAGGAAUUGACGGGGUCAUAGCUGUUUCCU
rnacentral:rRNA from 1 species